CAGCCGCCGCGGUAAUACGAAGGGUGCAAGCGUUAAUCGGAAUUACUGGGCGUAAAGCGUGCGUAGGCGGUGAGUUAAGUCUGCUGUGAAAUCCCCGGGCUCAACCUGGGAAUGGCAGUGGAUACUGGCUCGCUAGAGUGUGUCAGAGGAUGGUGGAAUUCCCGGUGUAGCGGUGAAAUGCGUAGAGAUCUGGAGGAAUACCGAUGGCGAAGGCGGCCCCCUGGACAAAGACUGACGCUCAGGUGCGAAAGCGUGGGGAGCAAACAGGAUUAGAUACCCCUGUAGUCCCUGUCUCUUAUAC
rnacentral:rRNA from 1 species